rnacentral:rRNA from 1 species
GCAAGUCGAGCGGAACGAUCCUAGCUUGCUAGGAGGCGUCGAGCGGCGGACGGGUGAGUAACGCGUGAGAAUCUACCCAUGAGUGGGGGACAACCCGGGGAAACUCGGGCUAAUACCGCAUACGCCCUACGGGGUAAAGCAGGGGACCUUCGGGCCUUGCGCUGAUGGAUGAGCUCGCGUCGGAUUAGCUUGUUGGUGAGGUAAAGGCUCACCAAGGCGACGAUCCGUAGCUGGUCUGAGAGGAUGAUCAGCCACACCGGGACUGAGACACGGCCCGGACUCCUACGGGAGGCAGCAGUGGGGAAUCUUGGACAAUGGGGGCAACCCUGAUCCAGCCAUGCCGCGUGUGUGAAGAAGGCCUUCGGGUUGUAAAGCACUUUCAGCAGGGAGGAAGGCUUACCCCUAAUACGGGUGAGUACUUGACGUUACCUGCAGAAGAAGCACCGGCUAAUUUCGUGCCAGCAGCCGCGGUAAUACGAAAGGUGCAAGCGUUAAUCGGAAUUACUGGGCGUAAAGCGCGCGUAGGCGGUGUGUUAAGUCGGAUGUGAAAGCCCAGGGCUCAACCUUGGAAUUGCAUCCGAUACUGGCACGCUAGAGUGCAGUAGAGGGAGGUGGAAUUUCCGGUGUAGCGGUGAAAUGCGUAGAGAUCGGAAGGAACACCAGUGGCGAAGGCGGCCUCCUGGACUGACACUGACGUGGAAGUCCGGAAAGCGUGGGGAGCAAACAGGAUUAGAUACCCUGGUAGUCCACGCUGUAAACGAUGUCUACUAGCCGUCGGGGUCCUUAGUGACUUUGGUGGCGCAGCUAACGCGAUAAGUAGACCGCCUGGGGAGUACGGCCGCAAGGUUAAAACUCAAUGAAUUGACGGGGGCCCGCACAAGCGGU